rnacentral:lncRNA from 1 species
AAUCCUUACUAGGUGGUAUUUGCAUCUCUUCCCUAUGAGUUGGUAACAUUAAAAAAACAACUGUCGAAGUCAGACGAGUGUUGGUCGAGUCUACUGUCAACUACUGUGUUUGCGAUUGAGUGUUUUAGACAAGAAAUAUGCCAUGCCCAGGAUAUUGAUUACAGGGUACACCAAAUUUGGUCAACUUUCAUCAUGGUAACUAAACCUACCAUCGACUUAUCUGGGUUUAAGGGUUCGUACAAACGGAGCGCUAGCGUUAUUUUAACUUCAGUUCUAAACAAUGACUUUUUUUUUCAGAGAUGCUAUAGUUCAGCUAUAGAGAGGACACAGAGAGUAAUUACAAAAAAAAACGAAUUACUAAACUGCCAGUAGAUGUCCGACAGGAGCUUACGGACAGAAAGCGGCAGGCGCAAUUAGAUUUAGCAAUAAGGCCGCCUUUUGUCUCUAGUGUCUCGAUUUAUUUGUUUGGUACGUCAUUUUGUGCAAUCAAGUAUAUUGUAUUGCAAGACUGUAAUUUUAAAUUCUAAUAAAAAAUAUAUAUUUUUAAGGUCCGAAUGUUAAGUGCUUGGUAAAAAAUGUAAAUAAAACAAGCAUUCAAUUAUAAAUUGGGUUUAGUUCAUAUUAAUAAACCUUAAUUUUUCUA